rnacentral:rRNA from 1 species
GACGAACGCUGGCGGCGUGCCUAACACAUGCAAGUCGAGCGGGAUCCAUCCAGUGGCAACACUGGGGAAGAUCUAGCGGCGAACGGGUGAGUAACACGUGAGAAACUUGCCCCGGAGUACGGGAUAACCCGAGGAAACUCGAGCUAAUACCGUAUGGCCUCUUCUGAUCGCAUGGUCGGAUGAGGAAAGAUUUAUCGCUCCGGGAGAGUCUCGCGGCCUAUCAGCUAGUUGGUGGGGUAAUGGCCCACCAAGGCAUCGACGGGUAGCUGGUCUGAGAGGACGAUCAGCCACACUGGGACUGAGACACGGCCCAGACUCCUACGGGAGGCUG